GCCGGGUGUGGUGGCGCACGCCUGUAAUCCCAGCUACUUGGGAGGCUGAGGCAGGGGAAUCACUUGAACCUGGGAGGUGGAGGUUGCAGUGAGCCGAGAUCACGCCAAUGUACUCCAACUUGGGUAACAGAGAAAGACUCUGUCUCAA
ensembl:misc_RNA Metazoa_SRP Metazoan signal recognition particle RNA